rnacentral:lncRNA from 1 species
CAGGAACAGACAGAUGAGCCUUGGCUUUCACAGCAUGCAUAUGAUUUAUCAGGCAUUGCAUUCUUUCCCCGAGGGAAGGGAAGUUCUCUGUGGAGCCACUUGGAAGGUGAGAUCAAUGCCCAAAUGCAAGGAGAUGCCACUGGCAGAGCCCAUGGGAGAUCAAACUGGAGAACGAACCAGCCAAAGGAGGUUACAGCAGGUUAUAAAAAUAUGUAACACUUUGGAAUACUUUGAGAACAGAAAUAAGUAUGAGCUGGUACAAUUCUUGAACAAUUCAGUAUCAGAAUUUUCUUUUCCCAUUGUGACUUAA